CAAAGGCUAGCAUUGGCGAUGACUUGCUCACUGCCACUACUGUCAAGAUUUAUGGCGGGGUAUUAGUGGCGAUAAUAGCGAGUGUGUUAGUGGUUGUGAUGUUAAUAAAGAGAUGUAACAGAAGAAGGCAAACGACGCAAUAACAAUAAAAACCAGCAAUCGAAAAACUGGAGACACAGAUUUCAAACUCAUGCACGAGUAUUUAGACAAAAAACACGUGGAUAACAACAGAUACCCGAAAAUGGAAUGCCACUUGCUUCGAUUUUUAUGGUUGGAAUGCGUUCUAUCGGAGAUGUAAAUACGGUUUAUUACAAAAAUCCAAAUAAAGUUAAAAUACUUUGUAAGGAGAAAAUGUAAUAACCAAUUGUGUAUUCGUGACUAUAUAAAAACAGGACACUGUAAGAUAGUACUCGACUAAUUCUUGUAGA